AGUCAUAUGCUUGUCUCAAAGAUUAAGCCAUGCAUGUCUAAGUACAGGCUUGUGCAAAGUGAAACUGCGAAUGGCUCAUUAAAUCAGUUGUGGUUCCUCAGAUCGUUUUACAGUUUGGAUAACUGUGGCAAUUCUAGAGCUAAUACAUGCGAACAGUCUCUGCCCUGCAAGGGGAGGAGCGCUUUUAUUAGACCAAAACUAACGGGUCUGGCUUCGCGGCCGGGCUCAACGAUUGUGGUGACUCUGGAUAACUUUGUGCCGAUCGCACGGCCACUGCGCCGGCGACAGAUCUUUCAAAUGUCUGCCCUAUCAAUUGUCGAAGGUAAGCGAUAUGCCUACCUUGAUGGUAACGGGUAACGGAGAAUAAGGGUUCGACUCCGGAGAGGGAGCAUGAGAAACGGCUACCACAUCCAAGGAAGGCAGCAGGCGCGCAAAUUACCCACUCCUGACACGGGGAGGUAGUGACGAAAACUAACAAUACGGGACUCUUAUGAGGCCCCGUAAUUGGAAUGAGUACACUUUAAAUCCUUUAACGAGGAUCUACUGGAGGGCUGGGGCCUGCGGCUUAAUUUGACUCAACGCGGGAAUCUUACAAGGUCAGGACAGCGUAAGGAUUGACAGAUUGAGAGCUCUUUCUUGAUUCGGUGGAUGGUGGUGCAUGGCCGUUCUUAGUUGGUGGAGCGAUUUGUCUGGUUAAUUCCGAUAACGAACGAGACUCUAGCCUACUAAAUAGUGUGCCGGUGCGUUUGCUCGCCGGCAAUCACUUCUUAGAGGGACAAGUGGCGCUUAGCCACACGAGAUUGAGCAAUAACAGGUCUGUGAUGCCCUUAGAUGUCCUUGGCCGCACGCGCGCCACACUGAAAGAAUCAGCAUGUGCUGAUCCUGGUCCGAAAGGGCCGGGUAAUCGUAUGAAUCUCUUUCGUGCUAGGGAUUGGGGCUUGUAAUUGUUGCCCAUGAACGAGGAAUACCUAGUAAGCACGAGUCAUUAGCUCGUGUUGAUUGCGUCCCUGCCAUUUGUACACACCGCCCGUCGCUACUACCGAUUGAACGGUUUAGUGAGACCCUCGGAUUCGUCCCGGCGCGCGGCGAUACGCUGAUUGCGCCGCGGUCGCGGAGAAGACGGUCGAACUUGAUCAUUUA
rnacentral:rRNA from 1 species